AAGAGAGCAAGUCGGCCUCCCCGGGCCCAGCUCCGGCCUCUUGGCGGCCUCUCCGGGUGCAAAAGUUCCUCGAGUCAGCCUCUCCAGGCCCAGCUCCUCCUGCCUCCCAGUGGCUUCUUUCAGCCCAGCCCAGCUCAUGGCUCUCAGCGGCCUUCCCAGGUCCCGCUUUUGACUUUUGGCGGCCUCUUCAGGCCCAGAACUUGACCUCCAGUCGGCCUUUGCAGGCCCGGCCUCCUGCCUCUCAAAGGCCUGCACGGGCCCGGCCUCGGCCUCGGCCUCACAGCGGACUCUCCACGCCCAGCUAGCUCUCGCCUCACUGUGGCCUCCCCAGUCCAAAGCUCCUGCCUUUCGGCCACUUCAGCAGGUCCAGCUCCUGCCUGCCAGUGGCCUCUUUAGGCCCAGCUCAUUCCUCACAACGGCCUUCCCAGGCCCCGUUUUUCCCUUCCGGCAGCCUCUUGGCCUCUAAUUUGUUUAUCUUUUGUGUAUAAAUCCCAAAAUAUGGAAUUUUGGAAUAUUUCCACCAUUAUAUAUUUUGGUAGGUAAUUUA
rnacentral:lncRNA from 1 species